CAGGGAGGAGUUAGGGCAGGAGGACUGGUCAGGGAGGAGUUAGGGCAGGAGGACGGGUCAGGGAGGAGUUAGGGGAGGAGGACUGGUCAGGGAGGAGUUAGGGCUGGAGGACCGGUCAGGGAGGAGUUAGGGCAGGAGGACCGGUCAGGGAGGAGUUAGGGCUGGAGGACCGGUCAGGGAGGAGUUAGGGCAGGAGGACCGGUCAGGGAGGAGUUAGGGCAGGAGGACCGGUCAGGGAGGAGACUUAGGGCAGGAGGACUGGUCAGGGAGGAGUUAGGGCUGGAGGACCGGUCAGGGAGGAGUUAGGGCAGGAGGACUGGUCAGGGAGGAGUUAGGGCAGGAGGACAGGUCAGGGAGGAGACUUAGGGCAGGA
rnacentral:lncRNA from 1 species